GAUCAAUUCCCUGUCGUCCGCCCUCGCCUCCUGCGCCAUCAUCGCGACGUCCUCGCCACGAUCCUCGCGACGUCCUCGCCACGAUCCUCGCUACGACGCGCCGCCUCUCCCAGUCCACCCUCGCGCUCGCGACACCCUCGCGCUCGCGACGGGACCCGGAGCAGACCGGGAUCAGGCCGCUCCGCCUCUCCCAGCCCGCCCUCGCGGGCUCGCCCUCCUGCGCGCCACCCUCCCGAAAUCCUGGUGACGAUCACCUACGCCGCCUGCCCUCGCCUACUUCGCCAUCCUCCCGACGACCUCGCGACGGGAUCCCACAACAGAACGGGAUCGCGCCUCUCCUAACCCGCCCUCGCCUUCCUGCAGCUACUGUUGGGCCAUCACGCCAUCCCUUCGGCGAGCGGAUCAUGCCUCCUCCUCAAGUCCGGCUGCGUUCGAUCAUCUCUGCUGCAGGUUAGUAGCAAAACGGAACCCCCUCGAUGCCCGCUCUCUAUUCCUCCGCUCAACGCACUCCUGCGUACCCUAAAUUGCAAGGAAUUUGGGCUGUACGGUGCCUCUGGCCACCAUGGCUGUUGCCCGAGCUUUUUGCACGUUACCCCUUAAGUCCAUGGAGUAAUUCUGUUUUUUCCUUAUAAUAUAUAUUAUUUAUUUCUAUAAUCUAUUAUGUGUUUUAUGGCGGAGCUGCCACGGUGUUCGCGGAAGCUUCGCCGGGAGUGACGACACCUACAAAACUCACGACCAGGGCAUCGUGCAAGUGCCUACCAAGGUCACACAUACACGGCCUUUGCAAUUGCUUUCCUGACAGUUCUGUUUUGCUCUAAAGUCAUGGCGGGACUGACGCAAAAAUGACCUGCGCUGAGUGACAUCACAACACAGAUGCUUUGGACGAGGCUGAACGUAAGAGGCUACAAAGGAACGCCAGGCGGGUGAAACGUCGAGCUGAAAUGACUGAUGAACAAAGACAAGAAAUAAAUAGGAAGCAACGUGAAUAUCGAGCACGAAAAAAGGCGGAAUCAAGCUAUACUCCCAACGCUGUCCAAACACCAAGUUCAGUGGUAGGUUUGUAAAGAUAAGGUCGAUUGCAAGCCAUUAACACAAUUCAUUUGAAGCAUAAAACAUUAAAUGAUGUCGCUUACUGUACGAGGGACUACUCAGUUGAGUUCUCAAACACCGUUCCUAAUAACUGAUGUCUCUACCGUUGUCCAAGUACCAAGCUCACAAGUCAAUGAAAAUCUUAUUCCAUGUUCAGUGGCAGGUUUGUGGAGAUACGGUCGCUUGCAUGCCAGUAAUACAACUCAUUCCAAGCAUUAAAAAAUUAAAUGAUGCCUUUUACUGUAGAUGGGACUACUCAACUGGGUUAUCAAUCACCGUUCCUAACUGGUGUCUCUACCGUUGUCCAAGUACCAAUCUCACAAGUCAAUGAAAAUCUUAUUCCAGAAGAUGACCCCAGGGAAUGGCUACACAGGAAUGAUAAUUACUUUCCAAACCGUUUAAAAAGAAAUCUUGCAACUAUCUCUGACCAUUGUAGGAACACCAACGACCCCUCAACUAUUAGAACCCUGCCUUCUGAAGCUGGGAGAUCAAGAGGGACAGCCUCCUAAAAAAUAGGGAAAGAUGUAUCAAUAUGAGUGAACAGAAGAAAAAUGAAUUAUUGCAGCGGAAUCGAGAAUACAAGAGGAAGGCGAAAUUAAUCAUGACCACUCCAGAACAGACACCAGUGCCAACUAUAAGCCCGGACAAUACAAUGCCUACGCGGACCAUGAACUAGAUAAUGCAGCACCCUGAUGAAGAAGAUUUCGACCCCCACUUAUUUGAGCCUACCCACCCUAUGGAUGAAGGAGGUGAGGAAAUUGACAUCAGCGAAGGCCAUCAAUUACACAACCAGGAUUUUUUUCAUGAUGAUGGGAUAUUACAACUUAAUCAAAGUAUACAUCUAAUCAUUAAUUUGUAGACAACUCCUAUUUCAAUCAUCAAACAACAAUCAUAAUGUAGAAUUGACACUUUGCACCCAGGUGAUGACUAC